CACACACGCACUUAUCAGCAAUCUUCUAUCCUCCUCUUUAAACCAGCUGGUUUUGUCACAAAUGAAGUAGACGCGUGUGACAUUUGGUGCCGAAACCCAGGACAGGAGGACUCCUUCGGGAGACCGGUCCCCUGUCCUCACCCUCACUCCAUGAGGAGAUCCACCUGUGAACUGGGGUCGUCAGACCAAACAACCCAAGGAACAUCUCACCAAUUUCAAAUCAGGUA
rnacentral:lncRNA from 1 species